rnacentral:rRNA from 1 species
UAUAAGAGGUCAUGCCUGCCCAGUGACUCUGUUCAACGGCCGCGGUAUCCUAACCGUGCGAAGGUAGCGUAAUCACUUGUUCUUUAAAUGAGGACUAGUAUGAAUGGCCCCACGAAGGCUACACUGUCUCCUUUUUCUAAUCAAUGAAACUAAUCUUCUCGUGAAGAAGCGAGAAUAAUUUUAUAAGACGAGAAGACCCUAUGGAGCUUUAAACAACUGAAAUAUUUGCUUUUAUAUUCCAUUCUCCAGAGUUCGCUAUUAUAUCCAAGCAUUUUAAUUUCUAGUUUUAGGUUGGGGUGACCACGGAGUAAAAUUCAACCUCCAUGACGAACUAAGCAUUUUUCCUCUAAGCCACAAGCUACCUCUUUAAGCAUCAACAAAUUGACUUACAUUGACCCAAUAUUUUGAUCAACGAACCAAGUUACCCUAGGGAUAACAGCGCAAUCUACUUCAAGAGCUCAUAUCGACAAGUAGGUUACGACCUCGAUGUUGGAUCAGGGUAUCCUGGUGGUGCAGCCGCUACUAA